rnacentral:rRNA from 1 species
GACAGAGGUGGUAAACGUUGUUCGGAAUUACUGGGCGUAAAGGCGCGUGUGAGGCUGCUGACGAAAAGUCAGGUAGUGAAAGCCCCGGGCUCAAGCCUGGGAAGUGCACUUGAAACCUCGCUAGCUCGAAUGCCGGAGAGGGUAGCGGAAUUCUCGGUGUAGAAGGUGAAUCGUAGAUAUCAAGAGGAACACCUGAGGUGAAGACGGGUUGCUGGGCUGACACUGACGCUGAGGCGCGAAGACUAGGGUAGCAAACGGG